UACGGAAGGCAGCAGUGGGGAAUAUUGCACAAUGGGCGCAAGCCUGAUGCAGCCAUGCCGCGUGUAUGAAAAAGGCCUUCGGGUUGUAAAGUACUUUCAGUCGUGAGGAAGGUGUUAAGGUUAAUAACCUUAGCAAUUGACGUUAGCGACAGAAGAAGCACCGGCUAACUCCGUGCCAGCAGCCGCGGUAAUACGGAGGGUGCGAGCGUUAAUCGGAAUUACUGGGCGUAAAGGGCACGCAGGCGGUUAAUUAAGUUGGAUGUGAAAUCCCCGGGCUUAACCUGGGAAUGGCAUUCAAGACUGGUUAGCUAGAGUCUUGUAGAGAGGGGUAGAAUUCCAUGUGUAGCGGUGAAAUGCGUAGAGAUGUGGAGGAAUACCGGUGGCGAAGGCGGCCCCUGGACAAAGGCUGACGCUCAUGUGCGAAAGCGUGGGGAGCAAA
rnacentral:rRNA from 1 species